AUCAGCACCACGGACAGCUCCGUUGACGGCCGGCCUGCUCAUUAAUAUUCAUGAGCACAUUCAUGAAUAUUCAUGUCUACAUUAGCCGCCACGCUGAUUAUAUAGGAUAUGGCUAUGGGGUCAAUAGGACACGGCUAUGGGGUCAAUAGGAUUUGGCUAUGGGGUCAAUAGGAUAUGGCUAUGGGGUCAAAAGGAUGGGGAUAUGGGGUCAAUAGGACACGGCUAUGGGGUCAAUAGGAUUUGGCUAUGGGGUCAAUAGGAUAUGGCUAUGGGGUCACUGGGAUGGGGCUAUGGGGUCAAUAGGAUGGGGCUAUGGGGUCAAUAGAGUGGGGCUAUGGGGUCAAUAGGAUAUGGCUAUGGGGUCAAUGGGAUGGGGCUAUGGGGUCAAUGGGAUAUGGAUAUGGUGUCAGUGGGAUAUGGAUAUGGGGUCAAGCACCCAUUGGUUAUGGGGUCAGAGCACCCAUUAGUUAUGGGGUCAGAUUGUCCCCAUGUUAUGGGGUCGGAGCACCCAAUUUAUGGGGUCAGAGCACCCAUUGGUUAUGGGGUCGGAGCACACAUUGGUUAUGGGGUCAAAUUGUCCCCAUCUUAUGGGGUCGGAGCACCCAUUGGUUAUGGGGUCAUAUUGUCCCCAUGUUAUGGGGUCGGAGCUCCCGUUGGUUAUGGGGUCAGAACAUCCAUUGGUUAUGGGGUCAGAGCGUGCAUUGCUUAUGGGGUCAGAUUGUCCCCAUGUUAUGGGGGCAGAGCAUCAUUAUAUUAUGGGGUCAGAGCUCCCAUUGGUUAUGGGGUCAGAGCACCCAUUGGUUAUGGGGUUGGAGCACCCCUUGGUUAUGGGGUCAGAUUGUCCCCAUGUUAUGGGGUCAGAGCACCCAUUGGUUAUGGGGUCAGAUUGUCCCCAUGUUAUGGGGUCAGAGCAUCGUUAUGUUAUGGGGUCAGAGCUCCCAUUGGUUAUGGGGUCAGAUUGUCCCCAUGUUAUGGGGUCAGAGCAUCGUUAUGUUAUGGGGUCGGAGCACCCAUUGGUUAUGGGGUCAGAGCGUCCAUUGGUUAUGGGGUCAGAUUGUCCCCAUGUUAUGGGGUCGGAGCUCCCAUUGGUUGUGGGGUCAGAACAUCCAUUGGUUAUGGGGUCAGAGCACCCAUUGGUUAUGGGGUCAGAUUGUCCCCAUGUUAUGGGGCCAGAGCGUCCUCUGGUUAUGGGGUCAGAGCAUCGUUAUGUUAUGGGGUCGGAGCACCCAUUGGUUAUGGGGUCAGAUUGUCCCCAUGUUAUGGGGUCAGAGCAUCAUUAUGUUAUAGGGUCAGAGCGCCCAUUGGUUAUGGGGUCAGAUCCCUCAUUGGUUAUGGGGUUGGAGCACCCCUUGGUUAUGGGGUCAGAUUGUUCCCAUGUUAUGGGGUCAGAGCAUCUCUAUGUUAUGGGGUCAGAGCGCCCAUUGGUUAUGGGGUCGGAGCUCCCAUUGGUUAUGGGGUCGGAGCGUCCUCUGGUUAUGGGGUCAGAGCACCCAUUGGUUAUGGGGUCGGAGCUCCCAUUGGUUCUGUGAUUACAGCAUCCCAUGUUAUGGGGUCAGAGCAUCAUUAUGUUAUGGGGUCAGAGCACCCAUUGGUUAUGGGGUUGGAGCGUUCAUUGGUUAUGGGGUCAGAGAAUCCAUUGGUUAUGGGGUCAGAUUGUCCCCAUGUUAUGGGGUCAGAGCAUCCCUAUGUUAUGGGGUCAGAGCUCCCAUUGGUUAUGGGGUAGGAGCUCCCAUUGUUUAUGGGGUCAGAGCACCCCUUGGUUAUGGGGUCCGAUUGUCCCCAUGCUAUAGGGUCAGAGCACCCAUUGGUUAUGGGGUCAGAGCGUCCAUUGGUUAUGGGUCGGAGCACCCAUUGGUUAUGGGGUCAGAUUGUCCCCAUGUUAUGGGGUCGGAGCUCCCGUUGGUUAUGGGGUCAGAACAUCCAUUGGUUAUGGGGUCAGAGCGUGCAUUGCUUAUGGGGUCAGAUUGACCCCAUGUUAUGGGGUCAGAGCGUCCUCUGGUUAUGCGGUCAGAGCAUCGUUAUGUUAUGGGGUCAGAGCACCCAUUGGUUAUGGGGUUGGAGCGUUCAUUGGUUAUGGGGUCAGA
rnacentral:lncRNA from 1 species